rnacentral:lncRNA from 1 species
UGAAAUCCCAGCUUCAUUACUUCCUGUUAGUGUGGCAAGAUUUUUAGCUGCUGAUACCUACCCAUUCCAGCACCCUUUAAACCGAUUCCUGUCUUCCUUUAAUGUUCUAUGCAUAAGGAGUCCUGGGCUUCCAUGAAGAGAGUGUAUGCCUCACUUUCAAACUACAUAUGCCAGCUGACCAAGGAAGAGUCACUCUAUGAUUUAGAAAAAUGCUGA